ACGAUUUAACAACAUUAGGAUGCUCCAUUCUGCAUUGAACCAACCAUUCUGAGGCAAGUUUAGCAAUAUACUGACCAUCAGUUUCGUCAUCAGCCUUACGACGAUAGGCUUUGACUGCAAAGCGAAGGUUCUUCUCAUUUUCUUUGGGAUUCUUAAGAGUCACGAUGCGAAUCACAGCCGUAGCACCACUACCCAUAUCCUUGGUCUCAUCAACCAAUUUGUAUUUUGCGCUCAAUCGAGGAACAACGCGUUUUGCAUAUGGUGGAAUAAAUCCUGACUUCAGCUUACGGGGGAUUUCAGAAAUAUUGGUCGGAGGUUUUAUAGGAUAAGUAGUAGGCCCAUUGCCUUGGUUGCCUUCAGAAGAAUUGGCUGACGUCGGACUAUUUGGAGCUGUAUUAGCCGAAGAUCCAACAUUAUCAUCAGACUUCAUGGAUGACUUUCCACUAUAGCCUGGGCUAAAUGGAUUUGCAGGGUUAAUACAAUCAAAGCCAGUACCUUGAGGUGUGAGCUUUAAACUACCACUAACAGCAUAGGUAAACAUAUCAAACUCGGUAGAAUGAGGCCAACUCUCGUAAGAUGUAUUGGCAUAAUUGUCGCGAACACGCGAUACUAAUGGUUUAGAAGGGCCAGGACGGUAGGAAGCUCCAGUAGAGGCUAAAGACGACAGAGAUGGGCUCUUGGACAUGCUGUUAGGAGUGCCAGUAGGGGAGGAUGGAGUCGGAGAUGCGGUCAAUGGACCGUCGAAAUAGCUUCCAUUACCGCCUUCUCGAUUUCGAAUAGAACUAUUCGGGCUAAGGGGAGAGGGCUUCUUUCUGUAACCAUUAUUAAUUUCCAUUGGUUUAGCCUUUGAAGGAAGUUCUGCCGAUCGAGAAAGUGAUUCCUUGGCAUUACCAUUGGGAGACUUGGUUGAUCCCAAAUUGUGAGAAGCCGAAUUGGCACGCCUAGGGACUGGUUUUCUAGCAGUUCUAGAAUUUGGAGGAGAGUUUUUCAAAUGUUGAUAGGAUUGACUCUUAUGGAUAUCCGAAGAUUUUCCAUUUACUGGAGAGGAAGGGUGGGAGGAAGUAUUCUUAUGAAGAAUGUGAUUAUUAAUAAAAGAGCCGAACCCCUUGGAGGGACUCUCGGAAGUGGGGGAAUUAGCAUUGCUUUUAUGACCAGGAUGCAUAGCCUUUUCUAAGAGAUUUUUAAGGCCAGAAUGAUGAGGUUUAUGAUGACGCGAAGCAGAUACAGGGAUUGGAGUAGCGGGAGCUGUGUGCUUCUGCCUAGGGGGGGAUUUCUGUGGGGUCUGAAGAGGAGAGUUAUUUCCAGGUACAUGGGCCAUCGAGUCAGUAGUGUGAUUUACACGUUGCUCAUGAGCCGAAGAUUUGUAAUCGGAGGGUGACUUAAUUUGACUAGAAUUUUUUCUACUAAGAAAGCUGUUUUUGAACUUGGAAAGCCCUUUGCGAACAGGAGCAGGAGUCCCGGAGCCAAUAGAGCGACUUGAAGGAGACUCACUGUCCGAUCUUUCAGGAGCUUGUGAUCCAAUGUCGAAAACGGGUUUAUCUGAAGGCAUUAUCAAGAGAAGAAAAAGAGAACUUCUUUUUAUUUGCGGAAAAAAUGAAAAUAGAAGAGAAAGAGUAUCAAAAAUAUAAUAAACGAGCAAGUGUAAACACGUCUAUUCAAGCUCUCUUUUUCUACUUGUUCUUCCUUUGGAUGGUAGAUGGACGGCGACUUUUAAUCAAAAAAAAGGUA